rnacentral:rRNA from 1 species
UACACUCCUACGGGAGGCAGCAGUGGGGAAUAUUGCACAAUGGGCGCAAGCCUGAUGCAGCGACGCCGCGUGGGGGAUGAAGGCCUUCGGGUUGUAAACUCCUUUCGCUAGGGACGAAGCUUUUUUGUGACGGUACCUAGAUAAGAAGCACCGGCUAACUACGUGCCAGCAGCCGCGGUAAUACGUAGGGUGCGAGCGUUGUCCGGAAUUACUGGGCGUAAAGGGCUCGUAGGUGGUUUGUCGCGUCGUCUGUGAAAUUCUGGGGCUUAACUCCGGGCGUGCAGGCGAUACGGGCAUAACUUGAGUGCUGUAGGGGUAACUGGAAUUCCUGGUGUAGCGGUGAAAUGCGCAGAUAUCAGGAGGAACACCGAUGGCGAAGGCAGGUUACUGGGCAGUUACUGACGCUGAGGAGCGAAAGCAUGGGUAGCGAACAGGAUUAGAAACCCUUGUAGUCCCAUG